rnacentral:rRNA from 1 species
GGAUGACGUCAAAUCAUCAUGCCCCUUAUGACCUGGGCUACACACGUGCUACAAUGGGCAGAACAAAGGGCAGCGAAGCCGCGAGGCUAAGCCAAUCCCACAAAUCUGUUCUCAGUUCCGAUCGCAUUCUGCAACUCGACUGCGUGAAGCUGGAAUCGCUAGUAAUCGCGGAUCAGCAUGCCGCGGUGAAUACGUUCCCGGGCCUUGUACACACCGCCCGUCACACCACGAGAGUUUGUAACACCCGAAGUCGGUGAGGUAACCUUUUG